GGGGUUGUGACUCAGUGGUAGAGUACUUGCCUAUUAUGUGUGAGGCACUGGGUUCAAUUCUCAGCACCUCA
rnacentral:tRNA from 2 species